ensembl:lncRNA
CAUGUCUGACUCUUUGUGACCACAUGGACUGUAGCCCGCCAGGCUCCUUUUUCCGGGAUUCUCCAGGCAAGAAUAUCAGAGUGGGUUGCCAUGCCCUCCUCCAGGGGAAUCUUCCCAACCUAGGGAUCGAACCCCAGGUCUCCUGCAUUGCAGGCUGAUUCUCUACUGUCUGAGCCACCAGGGAAGCCCUUAUUGCCGUUAGUGCCCACCUCAUAGACCACGUGAGAAUGAAGCAGAGAGAGAGCUUGCCAGGCACAUGGUGAAUUUCAGCAGCUGUUCUUACAACCCUGGCUCAACUUAACAUGUGCGACGGUGCAUUCAGUUCUACGUGAGCUUCUUAAGAAAAUGGAGUCCAUUUCUCUCCCCCUGGAGUCCUUCUACUGCUCUGGCCAGUAGGAUACGGCGGGCAUGACACGGACACUCCUAGGAUGGCCCUUCCUUGCCUGGCCUGGCAGCCUCCACUUUCAGCCUCUUGGAGGACGGCUGCUGCGGAGAGAGUGAGACUCCUGUGUGACCAAGGUGUGAGACACACCCAGACCACAUGGCGAGGCCCUGGAGGAGGAGAUGCCACAUGAAAGCAGGGCUAGGAGAGAGCCACGGGGUACAGGAGGGAGAGGCAGACACCUGCGUGGACACAGCCCAGUGGAGUCUUCGGAUGGCUGCAGCCCCAGCUGUCCUCAGGCUGCACCCGCACAAGGGUCCCCAUGGCGGAUCCGCCCAGCUGCAGCUGGUCAACCCACAGGAUCAUGAGAGAGAAGACGCUGUCAUUUUAAACCACCAAGUUUAAGCUUUAUUACCAGGAACCCAAGCCAUGGAAGAAACAAAGAAUGGCUGUGACCAAGUCUCGUUGGGAUAGACUACUGGGAAGUGGUGUCCAAGUCUCCCACAAGCAGGUCUGGGGGCUGUAUUUCCUUAUUUCCCGUUUUAUCCCAUUUCUACCUGUCCCCCACUUUGAUAUAGGGCACAUGGGAAUGUAUGAGCUGCAUUCAUUCGUGUAUCUGUUUAGGUGUUUACCUGUGGCUGUGUCAGUCACUGGGAGCCCAGGACUCCUGGCUGUGGGGAGUCAAAGAAGAGGAGGCAUCUCCCCUGCCUCUGUGAGCCUUGCCCCUGGCUAGGGAACCUGUGCAGCAAGGAGAAGGAAUGUCACCUCAUAGGAUGCCUCAUGACAGUCAUCUGUGAAGUAUUUCAGAGGAAAGGAAAUCCACCUUCUCCCAGGCCACAGGGAAAAGAAAACUCAGGGGAACCUAACUGGCCUGAAUCCACACGGCCACUCUGUGCCUGGGAUGCUCUUUGUGAGGAGCAAGUCCUGCUGAGUGGUUGGUGGGGAUGGAGUAUUGUAGUCAAUGGAGCGGCUGGCCACGGCUCGUUAGCAGUGCUGACCUGGGCACCGAUUCCCACCUUGACAGCUUGAAACCACUUUUCCUCCUGCUCCACCCAAACACCUCCAGGCUCAAGUUCCAGGGCCAUUUAUGGUCUGACGUACUUGAUUUUGCCAGCCUUGUUUGGUUCACGAAUUGUUUCAUAGGUACCCAUUUGGCUUCCUUAAUGAGGCUGGAGGUUUCUCGAGGGUCUUACUCUUUUAUUCCUUGUAUGGGUAGUAUCGGACACUUAGAACUCCAUAAUCACUUAACAGUCAAUUGGUGAAUACGGAAUUGGGUUGGACGGAUCACAAAAACUCAGAAAAUAAAAGGGUUCAGGUAUUGAGAGAGUCAUAGAGACAUUUAGUCAUUUGCAGGACUUUUAGCAUUUAUCAGGCAAGGGACUGAGUGCUUUCUAGUCAUUAACUUAUAGAAUUUUUACAACUCAGUAAGGUAGGCAACAUCAUUCUUUUAUAGCAGGGGAAACUGAAUCCUAGAGGUUAAAUUACCCUGGUCAAGAUCACAUAGCUAGUUAAAUGGUAGGUCUGGGUUUUGAAUCCACCGCACUUCCAUUCUGAGGUUUAUGCUUCUACCGUGACAUUCUAUCACCUUACCUUUGGAGUCUGAUGUGCCAAUCAAGUGGAGGGGGCUGUCUGUCAAAUACAGUGCAGUUUUUAUGUGUCUGGUUUCCCAGCUGCCCCAUACUUUCCAGCUCUAAUGCUUAUAUGCUUGAGCUUACAUUUAGCGAUCUCUCACUGCCAGCUCCUAAGUUAGUUUGGAUAUCAUAUCCCAAAAUUUGGAUGCAAUGUGUAUCUUUCUUGUGGAAGUAAAAAGUGCUAACCUUCCAGCAUCUGUUACUUGUAAUUGCUCUGCAUUAAGUUAUAAUUUUGGAUUUUAAUUUGAAAAAGUGCAUUUCAGUCCCAAGAUUUUUAAUGUGGAAAUGAACAACGGUAAGAAGUAACUGAUACCAUCUGUAUUUUUCUUUAAGAGAGGGAGAUGUGUUUGAAAAAAAAGAAUCAAAGUCAAGUGAAGGUCCCCUGGUACUUAGUCUUUGGACGAGAUUAUGGAAUGCCACACUUGUGCUGGUGUCGAGAACACCAUUUACACGUGCCUCCUUAAAUCUACACUGUUUAGCCUGCAAAUUUUACCUCAAAUGCUGCCUGAUUCACGUUUUCAAUCUUUUCCUGGUGGGAAGACCCUAGCAGGUACCACCCUAUCACGGUCCUUUGGUCAACACGUCUGUCCUUACAAAUCAAAUUAAGGUAGUAUAGAUGAGAAAAACUCGUACAAAUCAAUAAGCAAAAAACUAAUUGGACAGAAAUAUGAGUAAAAGAUGUAAACAGGGAGUAUCAGUCUGCUUGGGCUGCCAUAACAAAAUAUCAGGCUUGGUGCUUUAAAAAAUGGAAAUUUAUUUCUUGUAUUUCAGGAGACUGCCAAGUCCAGGAUCAAGGUGCUGGCAAGGUAAGGUUUAAUUCUGAGGCCUCUUCCCCCUGGUUUGUAGGUGGCCACCAUCUCAUAGUGUGCUCAGAUGAUCUCUUCUCUCUGUGAGUAUAGGGAUGGAAAGAGAGAUCUUUCUGGUGUCUCUUCUUAUAAGGACACUAAUUAUCAGAUCAGGGGCCCACCCUUAUGACCUCAUUUAACCUUUAUUACCUUCUCAGAGGCCUCAUCUCGAAUUCAGCCACACUGGAGGUUAGUGCUUCAACAUAUAAGUUUUGGAGGGAUGUAAAUAUUCAGUCUGUUAGACAGGGCACAUUAAGAGUAAUACAAAUAGUAAACAUGUAUAAUUUUUUUUAAGUAGAAAUAAUAAUAACUAACACUAAUUUGGAGAUGACUAUAUUCCAAGCAUUGUUCUAAGCACCUGAUGUCUCUUCACUCAUGACGUUCUUAUAGGGAGUCUGAGACAAGGUAGUUUCCACCACCACUUCAUUUGACAGAAGAGAAGCGUGAUACAUAGAGAAGUUAGGCAACUUAGUCAGUGUCUCACAGCUAGGAAAAGACAGCACCAGAAUUCAACCCCCUGAGCCUGUACUCUUGACAGCCCUUAAGAUGUUCAGACUUGUCCAUAGGUAGAAACCAGAACAGUACACCAAGUUUUAGCCAUUGGAUUGAUAACAAUGAAAAAGCUAGAUAUAUUGAGAAUGUGGGGGGAAUGUCAUUUUUACAUACAUGAUGGAAGGAAAAUUUUGAAGGGCAAUUGGACAGUAUCUGUUGAAAUUAAGUAUGUGUGCUUUUAUACUUUGAGCCAACAAUUCCACUUCUGGAAAUUCACUUCCUUAUAAAAUUCUGCCAAGACACCAGUGCAGGAAUAUUCACUGCAACAUCAUUUGAAUUAGUCAAAAACCCAAAGUCAAUGUCAGUGCCAGUCAAUAGGGCAGAGUUUAAAGAAGCUCUGAUGAUUUUAUGAAAUGUGAAUCUGAGAUCACUGAUACAGAAAUAUCACAAAUAUUUACGGAUACGUUACCGUAGUUUGUUAGGCCCACCAUAACAAAAUACCCCAGACUAGGUGACUUAAACAACAGAAAUGUGUUUCCUCAUAGUUGUGGGAACUGCAAGUCCAAGGUCAAGGUGCUGGCAAGUUUGGUUUCCUCUGAGGCCUGUCUCCUUGGCUUGCAGACAGUCACCCUCUUGCUGCCUCUUCACACAGUUGUUCCUCUGUGCAUGCGAACCCUGGUGUCUCUUUGUGGGUCUUAGUUUCCUCUUUGGACACCAGUCAGAUUGGAUUAGGGUCCAUUCUAAGGUCCUCAUUUUACCUUAAUUACUUCUUUUUUUAUUGUUUUUUAAUUGGUGGGAAAUUACUUUGCAAUGCUGUUUUAAUUACUUCUUUAAAGGCCUCAUCUCCAAAUACAGUCACAUUCUGAGAUAUCUGGAGUUGGGGCUCCAACAUAGGCAUUUGGAGGGAGCACAGUUCAUACCAUAACCUAGGUGAGAAAGAAAGACUUGUUGCUUUGUGAUUAGUAUAAUCUUUAAUGUGUAACUUAGAAGAGCUGAUAUAUGCAUUGAAAAUCUGUCUGUAAAGCUCUCCAAAGAAUUCUUAUACUUUCUUUUGUGGUGAAAAAUUGGAUGAGCCUGAAGUGUGGUUGAGGGUAAACUAAUUUACUUUUAUACUUUUCUGUAUUUAAUAUUCUAAUCAUGCAG